AUAUUGGACAAUGGGCGCAAGCCUGAUCCAGCCAUGCCGCGUGAGUGAUGAAGGCCUUAGGGUUGUAAAGCUCUUUCACUGGUGAAGAUAAUGACGGUAACCGGAGAAGCAGCCACGGCUAACUUCGUGCCAGCAUCCGAGGUACUACGAAGGGGGGUAGCGUUGUUCGGAAUUACUGGGCGUAAAGCGAACGGAGGCGGAUUAUUAAGUCAGGAGUGAAAGCCCGCAGCUCAACUGCGGAACUGCCUUUGAUGCUGGUAAUCUAGAGACCGAGAGAGGUAAGUGGAACUCCUAGUGUAGAGGUGGAAUUCGUAGAUAUUAGGAAGAACACCAGUGGCGAAGGCGGCUUACUGGCUCGGAACUGACGCUGAGGUGCGAAAGCGUGGGGAGCAAAC
rnacentral:rRNA from 1 species